AGGGCUGCUCAUACAUGGAGCUGUGACAGGUGGCUCCUCUGUAGCCGCUGUUGGAGCAGUUGCAGUGGAAAGUGUUCCAUGAUUGUGCACAUUUGCCUCCAUGUUCACAGUGGCUGGAAGAGCACCUGAAAGAGAGAGAAAGAGACACA